rnacentral:rRNA from 1 species
GAUGAACGCUGGCGGCGUGCCUAAUACAUGCAAGUCGAGCGAACGGACGAGAAGCUUGCUUCUCUGAUGUUAGCGGCGGACGGGUGAGUAACACGUGGAUAACCUACCUAUAAGACUGGGAUAACUUCGGGAAACCGGAGCUAAUACCGGAUAAUAUUUUGAACCGCAUGGUUCAAAAGUGAAAGACGGUCUUGCUGUCACUUAUAGAUGGAUCCGCGCUGCAUUAGCUAGUUGGUAAGGUAACGGCUUACCAAGGCAACGAUGCAUAGCCGACCUGAGAGGGUGAUCGGCCACACGGAAACUAGAACACGGCCCAGACUCCUAGGGGAGGCAGCAGAGGGGAAUCUUCGGCAGUGGGCGAAAGCCUGACGGAGAAACGCGGCGUGGGUGAUGAGGGCCUCCGGACCUAAAAACCCUGUUAUAGGGGAAAAACAAAUGGGUAGGAAACUGGCCACAUCUGAACGGUACCUAAUCAGAAAGCACGGCUAACUACGUG